rnacentral:lncRNA from 10 species
GUGGCACCACAGGCCGGGCGCGGUGGCUCACCCAUGAAUUUUAAAUUAUACAACUAAAGUGGUCUGCUGUGAAAUGUUAUCAUGAUCAUUCUAACGUCAACAGUCUUGACAAUUCUGCCCAAUUUCAGCAUUUCAGGUUUCCAGUACUUAACUCAUUCCUAAGUAAAUAAUACUACAUUACAAGGCAAGGUGACACACACCUGUAAUCCCAGCACUUUGGGAGGCCGAGUCAGGGGAUCCCUUGAGCCCAGGAGUUCAAGACCAGCCUGGGCAAUAAGGCAAAACCUCAUUUCUAUAAAAAAUACAAAAAUUAGCUGGGCAUAGUGGCACAUGUCUGUAGUCCCAGUUACUGAGGAGGCUGAGGUGGGAGGAUCACUUGAGCCCAGGAAUUCAACGCUGAAGUGAGCUACUAUCCCUCCACUUCAGCCGGGGCAACAGAGCAAGACCUUGUCUCUGGGAAAAAAAAAGAAAAACUUGAAAGAGAAGAACUAUUGAGGAAGGAAAAGGGUGAUACCUUUGGUUGUGUCUAAAUUUACCAGGCUGCACGUGGUGGCUCAUGCCUAUAAUCCCAGCACUGUGGGAGGCCAAGGUGGGUGGAUCACUUGAGGUCAGGAGUUCGAGACCAGCCUGGCCAAUAUGGUGAAACACUGUUUCUACUAAAAAUACAAAAAUUAGCUGGGUGUGGUGGUGCGCAGCUGUAAUCCUAGAGACUCGAGAGGCUGAGGCAGGAGAAUCGCUUGAACCCUGGAGGAGGAGGUUGCAAAACUCCGUCUUGAAAAAAAAAAGUAGGCCGGGCAUGGUGGCUCACGCCUGUAAUCCCAGCACUUUGGGAGGCCGAGGUGGGCGGAUCACCUGAGGUCAGGAGUUGAGAUCAGCCUCACCAACAUGGAGAAAUCCUACUGAAAUACAAAACUAGCCAGGCGUGGUGGCACAUGCCUGUAAUCCCAGCUACUCGGGAGGCUGAGGCAGGAGAAUCACUUGAACCUAGGAGGCAGAGGUCGCAGUGAGCUGAGAUCCCGCCAUCGCACUUCAGCCUGGGCCACAAGGGCAAAACUCCAUCUCAAAAAAAAAAAAAAAUGACCUUGGGGAGCCCUAGGAGAUGUGACUAGGAAUUAGCUGCUUGUCUUCCAAGGCAGCUGAAACUGAAGGACAACUGUGUGGCUUGCCUACGGGGAGAAAGAUGCCCUACAUAUAAAAAUGCGAUGGGCAAAGAUUACAAACUGGUUUCAAAUACCAGCCCUAAGUCAAAGAGGAGUGUGUUUCAGAAGAAGAGCCCUUUCUGGCCCCCGGUUUCAGGCCUCCAGCCCAGAGCCAGGGUGAAAGACACUAGUUAGUCUGUUCUUUAUUUUCCUUGGAAAAUUACAGGGUUACUUAUCAACAAAAUAACUGUCCAUCCGGUGGGGAAGUGCCAUC